GGCCGUGUAGCCUAAUGGAUAAGGCGUCGGAUUUCUGAUCCGAAAAUUGCGGGUUCAAGUCCCGUCAUGGUCG
rnacentral:tRNA from 2 species